rnacentral:rRNA from 1 species
CGGUGUUUAACUGGCGUGAUGUGGGACGUCCUACCGGUGGGCUUAGCCUCGCGAGGGGCGGCCCAACUAAUAUCCCGUCGCGGUGCUCUUUACUGAGUGUCGAGUCGGGCCGGUACGUUUACUUUGAACAAAUUAGAGUGCUUAAAGCAGGCUAUCCUCGCCUGAAUACUGCGUGCAUGGAAUAAUGGAAUAGGACCUCGGUUCUAUUUUGUUGGUUUUCGGAACCCCGAGGUAAUGAUUAAUAGGGACAGAUGGGGGCAUUCGUAUUGCGACGUUAGAGGUGAAAUUCUUGGAUCGUCGCAAGACGGACAGAAGCGAAAGCAUUUGCCAAAAAUGUUUUCAUUAAUCAAGAACGAAAGUUAGAGGUUCGAAGGCGAUCAGAUACCGCCCUAGUUCUAACCAUAAACGAUGCCAGCUAGCGAUCCGCCGAAGUUCCUCCGAUGACUCGGCGGGCAGCUUCCGGGAAACCAAAGCUUUUGGGUUCCGGGGGAAGUAUGGUUGCAAAGCUGAAACUUAAAGGAAUUGACGGAAGGGCACCACCAGGAGUGGAGCCUGCGGGCUUAAUUUGACUCAACACGGGAAACCUCACCAGGCCCAGACACCGGAAGGAUUGACAGAUUGAUAGCUCUUUCUUGAUUCGGUGGGUGGUGGUGCAUGGGCCGUUCUUAGUUGGUGGAGCGAUUUGUCUGGUUAAUUCCCGAUAACGAACGAGACUCUAGCCUGCUAAAUAGGCGUACCUUAUGGUAUCGCGAAGGCCCCCGGCUUCGGCCGGUGGGUUUUUACUACCAACGUACAAACAAAUCUUCUUAGAGGGACAGGCGG